rnacentral:rRNA from 1 species
GAUGAACGCUGGCGGCGUGCCUAAUACAUGCAAGUCGAGCGAACAGACGAGGAGCUUGCUCCUCUGACGUUAGCGGCGGACGGGUGAGUAACACGUGGAUAACCUACCUAUAAGACUGGGAUAACUUCGGGAAACCGGAGCUAAUACCGGAUAAUAUAUUGAACCGCAUGGUUCAAUAGUGAAAGACGGUUUUGCUGUCACUUAUAGAUGGAUCCGCGCCGCAUUAGCUAGUUGGUAAGGUAACGGCUUACCAAGGCGACGAUGCGUAGCCGACCUGAGAGGGUGAUCGGCAACAAUGGAACUAAGAAACGGUCCAGCAUCCUCCGGGAGGAAGCAGUAGGGAAGAUUAUGCAAUGGGCGAAAGCCUGACGGAGCAACGCCGCGUGAGUGAUGAAGGUCUUCGGAUCGUAAAACUCUGUUAUUAGGGAAGAACAAAUGUGUAAGUAACUAUGCACGUCUUGACGGUACCUAAUCAGAAAGCCACGGCUAACUACGUG